GACGAACCGAGCGAACGUUAUUCGGAAUCACUGGGCUUAAAGGGCGCGUAGGCGGGCGAUCAAGUCAGGGGUGAAAGCCCCCAGCUCAACUGGGGAAGUGCCUCUGAUACUGGUCAUCUCGAGGGAGGUAGGGGCGUGCGGAACUUCCGGUGGAGCGGUGAAAUGCGUAGAUAUCGGAAGGAACACCGGUGGCGAAAGCGGCGCGCUGGACCUCUUCUGACGCUGAGGCGCGAAAGCCAGGGGAGCAAACGGG
rnacentral:rRNA from 1 species